UACAGAGGAUGCAAGCGUUAUCCGGAAUGAUUGGGCGUAAAGAGUCCGUAGGUGGUUAUGUAAGUCUGUGGUUAAAGAGUGGAGCUCAACUCCAUAGGGGCCAUAGAAACUACAAGACUAGAGUAAGGUAGGGGUAGAGGGAAUUCUCGGUGUAGCGGUGAAAUGCGUAGAUAUCGGGAAGAACACCGGUGGCGAAGGCGCUCUACUGGACCUUAACUGACACUGAGGGACGAAAGCUAGGGGAGCGAAAGGG
rnacentral:rRNA from 1 species